rnacentral:rRNA from 1 species
CUACGUGCCAGCAGCCGCGGUAAUACGUAGGUGGCAAGCGUUGUCCGGAAUUAUUGGGCGUAAAGGGCGCGCAGGCGGCUUCUUAAGUCUGUCUUAAAAGUGCGGGGCUUAACCCCGUGAUGGGAUGGAAACUGGGAAGCUCAGAGUAUCGGAGAGGAAAGCGGAAUUCCUAGUGUAGCGGUGAAAUGCGUAGAUAUUAGGAGGAACACCAGUGGCGAAAGCGGCUUUCUGGACGAAAACUGACGCUGAGGCGCGAAAGCCAGGGGAGCGAACGGGAUUAGAUACCCCGGUAGUCCUGGCCGUAAACGAUGGGUACUAGGUGUAGGAGGUAUCGACCCCUUCUGUGCCGGAGUUAACGCAAUAAGUACCCCGCCUGGGGAGUACGACCGCAAGGUUGAAACUCAAAGGAAUUGACGGGGGCCCGCACAAGCGGUGGAGUAUGUGGUUUAAUUCGACGCAACACGAAGAACCUUACCAGGUCUUGACAUUGAKGACAGAACUAGAGAUAG